CAACUUCCAAAGAGUGGAAAGAACUCCCUUAGGCAAUGGCAGUCAGUGGAGAGUGCCUCAUAGGAGAAGAAUGGGAGAGACGUGCAGUCACAGAUGUGAGCCUGGAAGAUGUGAGCUGGGACCAGGAGAGAACUGGCAACAUUUAGGACCUGGAUCAGAUUUUGAACAAAAUAGGUGCCCAGUCAACCAGUUGCUUAAUGAAUAUAAAAAACUAUUUUGAAGAU